GAAUAUGAGAGUGAUCUGGCUGUGACAUCUGUCACCCCGUUGAUCACCAGGGUUGAUUCAGCUGAUCUGACUCACUCCAUGGUUGUCCCCUUCCUCCUUCAUCACUACAUGUGCAUCCCUUCCAAAGCUGCAUGCUUCGUCAAAGAGGACGAUUUUCCCCAAAUAGAGGAGGACUACUCUUUGGUUAAGUGUAUAUAAGUAGCUGUGCUCCUCUGCCAGAAUCUCCAAACAAGCUCUCAAGGUCUUUUCUCAUUUUAUAUAACAAUCCUCA
rnacentral:snRNA from 1 species